UACGUAGGAUGCAAGCGUUGUCCGGAUUUACUGGGCGUAAAGGGCGCGUAGGCGGCGUGACAAGUCACUUGUGAAAUCUCUGGGCUUAACCCAGAACGGCCAAGUGAAACUGUUGUGCUAGAGUGCAGAAGGGGCAAUCGGAAUUCUCGGUGUAGCGGUGAAAUGCGUAGAUAUCGAGAGGAACACCUGAGGUGAAGACGGGUUGCUGGGCCGACACUGACGCUGAUGCGCGAAAGCCAGGGGAGCGAACGGG
rnacentral:rRNA from 1 species